UAUGGCAGUGUCCUACCAGGGCCCAGAGCCCACUCAGCAGAUUCUACAAAUCCUGUGGUCCAAACGACCCCCAAACAAGCAUAAGCACUGUGCCAUGUGUGAGCAAACAUCAACGGGCUCAGUCGAGAUUAACAGUGAGCUGUCGCCGCACCGUCACCAUGCAUGUACCACGCAGGCAUGUUGAUGUUGUACAUACGUUCAUGUCGGAGGGGAACUCGUCCUUCUUCAUCAGGCCAGUGGCAGCGGCGAUGUUCCCCAUAGCCCCAGUGGUUUUCUCGGCCACUGUAGAGUCACAUACAAGUGUCAGAUGUCAUCAAUCUACACUGUACUCCGUCGAGCUAUUUGGGCAAUCUACUGCGAGCUCAGUGGUUCUGAUCACUCAAGCCUUGUCAUCCUCUCCACUCUCGGCAGUCACAUGCCUUAUUGGUCCCUGAAGACGUUUAAAAGCCAACUGAGGAGAAACAAAAUAAUGAAGAAGGGCAGAAGCGUCUCUACAGAAGGCCAGUCUAAAAAGCCUAAGACACAUGGACGAGACGCCAUACAAAUGAAGACGGCUGUAGUCGUUAUAUCUGAAAAACAUGUAUUUCAUUGAACAAAACAAUAGGAUGAAAUCUCAAAUAAAGCAGAAAAGAAUGAAAUAAUGUACUAUAUGGUACAAUCCUAUAGUCUUUAAUGGAUCAGUGAGACAAAAUUUGAAAAAAAAUGUUUUUGUUAAUUAACAGGGGAGUUUUCACUCUUUUCUUUUUAUUCAGGACAAUAUUUUCCCUAUUUCCCUAUAAAGUA